GCUCACCGCGGCUGGGGAUGGUGGGCGCUCGAAGUGCGCGCCACCGGGGAGUUCAUCGGGUUCACCGGUCUGGACCCGGUCGAUGAGCAC
rnacentral:tRNA from 1 species